UACGAAGGGUGCAAACGUUGCUCGGAAUUAUUGGGCGUAAAGCGCACGCAGGCGGCUUUGCAAGUCCCAUGUGAAAUCCCACGGCUCAACCGUGGAAGUGCAUGGGAAACUGCAGAGCUUGAGUACUUAAGAGGAUCGCGGAAUUCCCGGUGUAGAGGUGAAAUUCGUAGAUAUCGGGAGGAACACCAGUGGCGAAGGCGGCGAUCUGGGAAGAUACUGACGCUGAGGUGCGAAAGCGUGGGGAGCAAACAGG
rnacentral:rRNA from 1 species